UGUGGUUCACUCUUUCGAGUGAUGAAAAGGGAAUCAGGUGAGAAUCCUGAGCAGUCCCGCUGCUGUAUGCUGUUUUUAUACGGAUUGCAAAACAAAAAGCCACUGAAACCUGCUACUGCAAAUAGAUUUUGUAUACGAGAAUGGGCUUCGGGAAGGCAUUUGCAAUCGACAGCAAGCCAGAAGACCUGCCACAGAUGGAU
rnacentral:ncRNA from 1 species